rnacentral:lncRNA from 1 species
CGCCUCCAUGUUCCUAUCUAACGCAAACAAUUCAUCAAUCACCUUGCAUACCCUAUCAACCUCAUCAGGAUCUGCACAAGAUUCACCACUAACACCUCUACAAUCACAAUCUUCCUCAACCCCAGAAUCAGCAUCACUAGCAAAUGUCAUACGAUUGUUCAAAAACGGAUUUUCAUGAUGAAAAGGGGAAAGGGGUAAAGCGGAAAAAUACCCCAGAUGGGGAAUCAGCAGCUUUUUUUGAAAAGCAAGGAGUGGAGAGGGGUGUGGCAAAAGAAAUGGAAUUUGACAACGAGAAUGAUGGAAAGUGCAAUUAGGAGAAGCACGAAGCAAACGAGACAAGGACAGAGAGCUACCACAAGGUAGGCGCACUUGCUCUCCUCCUCUUUGCGGUGGUCGUCUCCGAUGGAAAGAGCAAAGCUCGGUGGCGGAGAAGACGCAGCACGGGCCAUGUUGAUGUGGCAAUGGAAAUUGUGUGAGUUGUCGCAGGAACAAUGUUAA